AGUAAUGACGUAAUGCCAGUUUGUGUUGUCAGUAAUGGCACUGAGACUUGGUCGCUCACAAUGGGCCUUAUGAGAAGGCUCAAGUUCACCCAAAGAGCAAUGGAGAGGGUUAUGCUCGGAGUUUCCUUCCUUCCAGAAAUAAGGAGAUUCGCAGGAAAACCAUGACACUCGUAGCCGCAGCAAGACAAGAUAGGAACUAAUCAAUGAAGCUAAUCAGAACCAGGCCGGCAGUGUCAGGCAGUGUUAGGCGCCAGAAGAAUAGGAAUGAUAGCUUGCACGCCAGUCGGAACAGCUGGACCGCGACACCAACCCCAGCCGCUUCCGUGGCACGCUCCGCCGGUGACGACGGACCAGUGUAACAGCUUCUCCUUCUUCUUUCUUUGUCUGCACUCUCUGCACCUUUUCCCACUAGGUGGGGUCAGUAUUAACAGUAAAUUAUGUAAUAGCUUCUCUAUUUGUGACUAAAUAUACCAAAAUUACAAACUAAACUGAUGACAAUGUACAUAGUAAGCACAACAGUCAACAGUCCAUUUGAACGGUCUCUUCAGGAAUAAUUGCGUUACAGCACCGCUCCACCGUGCGGCUCGACGACGCACUAAUGCAAACACUGGACUGAUGAUUAACGACCCUGGAUCAGCGCUUAAUCUAUAUCGACAAUACAACUAACAACACAACGCUGGGAUUAUUCAGUAUGCUAAGUUCACGUAUUCGUCAGUACCGUCAAAUGAGUUUUGGGAGAUGCAGGAGAGGAGUGAGGAGACUUGCUUUUGCCCCAACAGACUACUGAUUUAUUAAAAGUUUGGACAACUUCUUAGCUGGGAAAAUAUUUAAUCCCUAAAGGCAUUACAAAACGAUUUUCAAGAAUAUGUUGGCUCCCGUACACCCGACUUCUCAAGAAAGCAAAAGCAUUAAAAAAUGACCACUGCAUCGGCAGAACUGCAUCAAUACUAUGGAUGCAUAUUUUGAUAGAUAGAAAUGGUUUUUAUUAUAAAAAAAAUGACUUUAACUUACUUUCUACUAAACGGUAAUUUCAUAGAUAUAGACCAGUAUUUUGUUUUUAAAACCACAAGGCCUUCAGCUAUAAAUUAAAUCGUACAUAUGGGCAAACAUUGAGAAUAGAGAAGUGUUGUUUUAAAAAUAAAUUUAAAAGUUUACUAAAAAAAUACAAACGUAAUCAAAAUAGACAAAUUUAUUGUCACCCGCUCUGAAUAAAAGAAGUUCAUUUUCGACAUAGACAUUUGUUUUUCAUAAAAUUCAAUUGUUGUAGUACUGUUUCUCUCAGUAUGAGAGUAUGUUCAAACAUAUAGCACAAUAGAGGUGUGAGCCGAAUAACGCGAUAGUAUCUGAGGCGAUAGGCGCUCAGUGUGCGGUUAUGAUUCAGUUCCGCUGAUAGAGACUUCACGCGUUCAAUAGAGCCGUGUAUUUGCUAUAGUUUGGUGAGUCGCCGUGUGAACUAUUGUUCAUAUUGUAAUAUGUUUCAAAGUUUUAUUAGAAUCUGUUUAUAUAAAUGAAACAUUCUAUGAUCCUCAGUACGUGGAGAUUUUUAAAAUAAUGCUUCAGAUUUAAGAGCAACAAUGGAAGAGAUGAAUUAGAUACAUUGUUAUAAUCAUAUGUGUACAUAUGUCUUUGGCGUAAUCAAGUAACAACACUCAGCCUUUUUAAAGGUCAGACUGAUAUGAAAGCAUUCCACUCCAACCCUCUUCACUCACAUCUGUCGUCGCGCCCGACCCGGUACUGCUGAGACCCCGUGCAAGGGAUCGUGGAACACGAAGAAAAGAUGUAAUUGUAAAUUCUUUGGUGAAGCUCAUGAGUGUCUCCCCGUCAUCGUGCUGUCUACACCUAAGCAGAUAAUAUUAUUACCACGGUUCUAUUACGAAGCAAAAAUAGUUUUUAAUAUCCAGUGAAAAAGACUAUUUUAGCUUGGACAAGCCAUCCAGAUGUACCGUUUUAAUUCUGGUGCUAGGUAAUACGUAUUGCAUACCUGUUGUGUUGUAUAGAUGAUUCAGAAAGUCAACUCGGUUCGAAAGUCGAUAUUUAGUUUUCAAUACAAAAGUUUUGAUGAGCCAAACUAAAAUACUCCGUAAUUCCGGCCCCAAAUUACGAUGACAUAGUGUGUUAUGGGAACCAGACACUGAUGUACACACUUGCAUAAGUUUAAAUAUAUGUACAUAUACAAAUAAUAGAUAGCCAGACAAAGAACAUACAAAUCAGUUCAUUAUUCCAAUGUUUGCCUGAUACGGGAAUCGAACCGACGAUCCUGGGCGCCACCGCACCAACGAUUCAAUCUGAGAACUGAUAAACACGACGAGCAGCCCUACAUUAUGGUGGCGAACCACUAGGUGAGAAACAUAUUGACGAUACACAAUAACCAUAACGAUAAAUAUCUGGAGCCAAGAUUGAAGGUAAGUAAAGGACGCUCUUAAGUCGUGAUGUCUUAUUUACGUUGACAUAAGACGGCUCGUAAGCUGAGAGAAGUGGCUCAUAACUCGACUUAUCGUCCGCAAUAGAUAUUGGAGUACCAGGAUAACAUAAGCCUUUAGACGUUUAUUGAACUACGCAAUGACGUUAUAGUGAAUGAAAUAUUGAGAAACUUCUAUUGGCGCACUAGUGGCCCUGGUAUAGUAAAAUGAUUACGCAUAUUGGUUUGUGUGAACGUUAUGUACAUUAGUAUUGCACUAAGUGAGAGUAUUUGAAUUUAAAAUGUUUAAAAGUGAUUCGUUUUACACGUAAGGAUAUAUUAUCUCUGUUUAAUAAUUAUAUGUUCUAGUCCGGAAAUGAAUAAACACACAACAUGCAUAGGCAUAACCAAAAGAUUCAUCUAUAAAAA